GGAAGAGGAGAGCCGGCCCCGGGUCAGCCUGGUGCGCGGCUGCCCAGGAGGGGUGGCAAAGGUACACCUCAAGUCAGGAGGCCUCAGGAAGGCCAUUGAGGAAAGUCAUAACCACAAAGAACACUGAGCUCAUAACCAAAACUUCGGCCUAAACCAGCUUCCACCCUCAGAACAUGGCUGGGUGUGACGAAGACGCCCUCCCACCACCCCG